rnacentral:tRNA from 1 species
GCGGAAAUAGCUCCGUUGGUAGAGCAUAACCUUGCCAAGGUUAGGGUCGCGAUUUCGAGUCUCGUUUUCCGCU